AUUGAACGCUGGCGGCAGGCUUAACACAUGCAAAUCGAGCGGAGAUGAGGUGCUUGCACCUUAUCUUAGCGGCGGACGGGUGAGUAAUGCUUAGGAAUCUGCCAUUUAGUGGGGGACAACAUUCCGAAAGGAAUGCUAAUACCGCAUACGUCCUACGGGAGAAAGCAGCGGAUCUUCGGACCUUGCGCUAAAUGAUGAGCCUAAGUCGGAUUAGCUAGUUGGUGGGGUAAAGGCCUACCAAGGCGACGAUCUGUAGCGGGUCUGAGAGGAUGAUCCGCCACACUGGGACUGAGACACGGCCCAGACUCCUACGGAGGCAGCAGUGGGGAAUAUUGGACAAUGGGCGGAAGCCUGAUCCAGCCAUGCCGCGUGUGUGAAGAAGGCCUUUUGGUUGUAAAGCACUUUAAGCGAGGAGGAGGCUACUAGUACUAAUACUACUGGAUAGUGGACGUUACUCGCAGAAUAAGCACCGGCUAACUCUGUGCCAGCAGCCGCCGUAA
rnacentral:rRNA from 1 species